rnacentral:rRNA from 1 species
GACGAACGCUGGCGGCGUGCUUAACACAUGCAAGUCGAACGGAAAGGCCCUGCUUUUGUGGGGUGCUCGAGUGGCGAACGGGUGAGUAACACGUGAGUAACCUGCCCUUGACUUUGGGAUAACUUCAGGAAACUGGGGCUAAUACCGGAUAUGAGCUCCUGCUGCAUGGGGGGGGUUGGAAAGUUUCGGCGGUUGGGGAUGGACUCGCGGCUUAUCCGCUUGUUGGUGGGGUAGUGGCUUACCAAGGCUUUGACGGGUAGCCGGCCUGAGAGGGUGGACGGCGACAUUGGGCCUGAGAUACGGCCCAGACGCCUACGGGAGGCAGCAGUGGGGAAUAUUGCGCAAUGGGCGGAAGCCUGAGGCGGCAGCGCCGCGUGCGGGAUGACGGCCUACGGGUUGUAAACCGCUUUCGCCUGUGACGAAGCGUGAGUGACGGUAAUGGGUAAAGAAGCACCGGCUAACUACGUG